rnacentral:rRNA from 1 species
GUGAGGAAUAUUGGUCAAUGGGGGCAACCCUGAACCAGCCAAGUCGCGUGAAGGAUGAAGGUCUUAUGGAUUGUAAACUUCUUUUACACGGGAAUAAAGUGGGGGACGUGUCCCCCUUUGCAUGUACCGUGUGAAUAAGGAUCGGCUAACUCCGUGCCAGCAGCCGCGGUAAUACGGAGGAUCCGAGCGUUAUCCGGAUUUAUUGGGUUUAAAGGGUGCGCAGGCGGGAUGUUAAGUCGGCGGUGAAAUUUUGCAGCUCAACUGUAAAAGUGCCUUCGAUACUGGCCUCCUUGAGUGUGGAUGAAGUAGGCGGAAUUUGGGGUGUAGCGGUGAAAUGCUUAGAUAUCACGAGGAACUCCGAUUGCGCAGGCAGCUUACUAAGCCACAACUGACGCUCAUGCACGAAGGCGUGGGGAUCAAACA